GAUGAACGCUGGCGGCGUGCCUAAUACAUGCAAGUCGAGCGAACAGAUGAGGAGCUUUCUCCUCUGACGUUAGCGGCGGACGGGUGAGUAACACGUGGAUAACCUACCUAUAAGACUGGGAUACUUCGGGAAACCGUAGCUAAUCCCGGAUAAUAUAUUUAACCGCAUGGUUCCAUAGUGAAAUACGGUUUUUCUGUCACUUAUAGCUUGAUCCUCGCGGCAUUAGCUAGUUGGUUAGGUAACGGCUUACCAAGGCAACGAUGCGUAGCCGAACUUAGAGGGUGAUCGGCCAAACUGGAACUGAGACACGGUACAGACUACUAAGGGAGGGAGCAGUAGGGAAUGUUGGGCAAUGGGGGAAAGCAUGACGGAGCAAAGCCGCGUGAGGGAAGAAGGACUUCGGAUCGUAAAACUCUGUUAUUAGGGAAGAAAAAAUGUGUAAGAAAAUAUGGACGUAUUGACGGUACCGAAACAGAAAGCCACGGCUAACUACGUG
rnacentral:rRNA from 1 species